AUUGAACGCUAGCGGGAUGCUUUACACAUGCAAGUCGAACGGCAGCACGAGAGAGCUUGCUCUCUUGGUGGCGAGUGGCGGACGGGUGAGUAAUGUAUCGGAACGUGCCCAGUAGCGGGGGAUAACUACGCGAAAGCGUAGCUAAUACCGCAUACGCCCUACGGGGGAAAGGGGGGGAUUCUUCGGAACCUCUCACUAUUGGAGCGGCCGAUAUCAGAUUAGCUAGUUGGUGGGGUAAUGGCCCACCAAGGCGACGAUCUGUAGCUGGUUUGAGAGGACGACCAGCCACACUGGGACUGAGACACGGCCCAGACUCCUACGGGAGGCAGUAGUGGGGAAUUUUGGACAAUGGGGGGAACCCUGAUCCAGCCAUCCCGCGUGUGCGAUGAAGGCCUUCGGGUUGUAAAGCACUUUUGUCAGGGAAGAAAUUGUACGGGUUAAUACCCUGUGCGGAUGACGGUACCUGAAGAAUAAGCACCGGCUAACUACGUGCCAGCAGCCGCGGUAAUACGUAGGGUGCAAGCGUUAAUCGGAAUUACUGGGCGUAAAGGGUGCGCAGGCGGUUUAUCAAGAAAGGUGUGAAAUCCCCGGGCUCAACCUGGGAAUGGCACUUUUAACUGAUAGACUAGAGUAUGUCAGAGGGGGGUAGAAUUCCACGUGUAGCAGUGAAAUGCGUAGAGAUGUGGAGGAAUACCGAUGGCGAAGGCAGCCCCCUGGGAUAAUACUGACGCUCAUGCACGAAAGCGUGGGUAGCAAACAGGAUUAGAUACCCUGGUAGUCCACGCCCUAAACGAUGUCAACUAGCUGUUGGGGGCUUCGGCCCUUAGUAGCGCAGCUAACGCCGUGAAGUUGACCGCCUGGGGACUACGGUCGCAAGACUAAAACUCAAAGGAAUUGACGGGGACCCGCACAAGCGGUGGAUGAUGUGGAUUAAUUCGAUGCAACGCGAAAAACCUUACCUACCCUUGACAUGUCUGGAAUCCCGAAGAGAUUUGGGAGUGCUCGCAAGAGAACCGGAACACAGGUGCUGCAUGGCUGUCGUCAGCUCGUGUCGUGAGAUGUUGGGUUAAGUCCCGCAACGAGCGCAACCCUUGUCAUUAGUUGCUACGAAAGGGCACUCUAAUGAGACUGCCGGUGACAAACCGGAGGAAGGUGGGGAUGACGUCAAGUCCUCAUGGCCCUUAUGGGUAGGGCUUCACACGUCAUACAAUGGUCGGGACAGAGGGUCGCCAACCCGCGAGGGGGAGCUAAUCUCAGAAACCCGAUCGUAGUCCGGAUUGUAGGCUGCAAUUCGCCUGCAUGAAGUCGGAAUCGCUAGUAAUCGCGGAUCAGAAUGUCGCGGUGAAUACGUUCCCGGGUCUUGUACACACCGCCCG
rnacentral:rRNA from 1 species